CGUUCCCGGGCCUUGUACACACCGCCCGUCACACCAUGGGAGUCAGUUGCUCCAGAAGUGGCCUCAAUACGUAGGCCCCUAAGGAGUGACUGGUAACUGGGGUG
rnacentral:rRNA from 1 species